CAAGACUAAGGUUUCCUGGGGCAGGCUCGUCCGCCCAGGGUAAGUCGGGACCUAAGGCGAGGCCGAGAGGCGUAGUCGAUGGACAACAGGUUGAAAUUCCUGUACUGCACCGAAUCGUUAUGAGCGAUGGAGGGACGCAGGAGGCUAGCAGCGCGUGGUGCUGGAUACCACGUUCAAGCGUCAAGUCUGAGAGCGAGUCAAAUGCUUGCUCUCAUAAGGACAAGGCGUGAUGAGGAGCGAAAUUAAAGUAGCGAAGGCUGCGACGUCACACUGCCGAGAAAAGCUUCUAGCCAGAGACGGUGCACCCGUACCGCAAACCGACACAGGUAGUCGAGGAGAGUAUCCUCAGGUGAGCGAGAGAACUCUCGUUAAGGAACUCGGCAAAAUGGCCCCGUAACUUCGGGAGAAGGGGCGCUGGUCGCAAGAUCAGCCGCAGUGAAAAGGCCCAAGCAACUGUUUAUCAAAAACACAGGCAUCUGCAAAAUCGUAAGAUGAAGUAUAGGUGCUGACACCUGCCCGGUGCUGGAAGGUUAAGAGGAGAGCUUAGCGCAAGCGAAGGUUUGAAUUGAAGCCCCAGUAAACGGCGGCCGUAACUAUAACGGUCCUAAGGUAGCGAAAUUCCUUGUCGGGUAAGUUCCGACCUGCACGAAAGGUGUAAUGAUUUGGGCACUGUCUCAACGAGAGACUCGGUGAAAUUAUAAUACCCGUGAAGAUGCGGGUUACCCGCGACAGGACGGAAAGACCCCAUGGAGCUUUACUGCAGUUUAAUAUUGGGUAUCUGUCAAGCAUGUACAGGAUAGGUAGGAGCCGGAGAAGAUAGGACGCCAGUCUUAUC
rnacentral:rRNA from 1 species